rnacentral:rRNA from 1 species
GACGAACGCUGGCGGCGUGCCUAAUACAUGCAAGUCGAACGCAGUGGGGACGGGUGAGUAACACGUGGGUAACCUCGCAUCAGAGGGGAUAACAGUUGGAAAAAGGUGCUAAACCGAGACUGAUGGAUGGACCCGCGGUGCAUUAGCUAGUUGGGGAGGUAACGGCUCAACAAGGCCAAGAUGAACAGCCGACCUGAGAGGGUGAUCCGCCACACUGGGCCUGAGACACGGCCCAGACUCCUACGGGAGGCAGCAGUAGGGAAUCUUCCGCAAUGGACGAAAGUCUGACCGAGCGACGCCGCGUGAGUGAAGAAGGGUUUCGGAUCGUAAAACUCUGUUGUUAGAGAUGCGGUAUCUAACCAGAAAGCCACGGCUAACUACGUGCAAGCAGCCGCGGUAAUAC